CGGCUUCUGUUUUUGGUUUUAGAGGGGAGGAGGGUCGCCGUGGACUGCAGGAACAGCAGUAAAGUGGCUUUGCAGAGACGGGAUCACGGAUGCCAAAAGGCACCUGCUUCUCCGAGGCCUUUCCACUCGCGUGGAGAGGAGUCCGGUGUGGUGGAGACUCAAGGAGGCGAACGAAGGACUGAGCAGCGUGCGGAGGGGGCGUGGCCAGGUGGGCGUGGCCUAGGUCGGAGGGCGCGGCCGAGAGGGCGUGGCCGGGGCGCGGCGGACCCCCCCGGUGGGCGGAGCUUCGGUCGCCUGGCCUCAGCCUUGCGACCCGGUUGUGCAUCCGUGCCCGCUCCCUCGCGCGGACGCCGGGUCCCGGGUCUCUGGGUUUUCCUCAUAGCCAGUGUUAGUCUGGUGAAAGGCGGUAUCAGCUCUGUCGCUGGAGGAAAAGGUGAAGGGCGCGGGGUGGAGGCGGGGCACAGAGCUCUGCCCGAGCCACCUGGCGCGCGGCCAGGGCCAGGCCAGGACCGGACGCGGGGCCACGGGGACACCGCCGCCCACGAAUCCCUCCCCCUUUCUAACCCGGGUGAGGCGAUUCGCUUUACAAAGGCCACAGUACUGCAGGCGACUUCUGCAAAGCUGAACCAGUGGAAAGAUAAAGGCAAAUAUCGAACUUGCCCUUUGCUUGCCAAAUCAAUACCUUGAAUAAAGAAGGAUCCAGGUAGAGGGAAUUUGUCCCUAAGAACCUCAACAGCCGAGGCGGAAGUAAACGGUGGGAGUGGGAGGUGGCUUAUCCUGCUCAUCUUGCUGCGAAUCGACAGGGAUUCAGUUCGCGAGAGCUGGCCGAGUAGCUGGGAAAUGUCAAACAAGGCAGCAGGCGCUCAGACAAGCACAGCGCGUAACAGCCAGUAAUUCUCAGGUGUGAGCUGGAACACAAGGGCAGAGAAAAAAGAAAAAUACAGGGGAAAAGUUUAAAGCAUCGCAUUGGACUAAGGAGUGAAGAAGUCCUGAGCGACUUCAGUCCAGUUAUGACCAACUCCAGGGAGGAAGGGACAGUUGCUUGAAGCCAAAAUUGGGGAAUGCGUGUCUUAAAUGAUAAGCAUAUAAAGUGUGUUUUGUAAACUGAGGUAUCUCUCGUUUUUUGCAGCGUGUCUUCUUGGAGAACAAGGAAGUGGGGUUAAAAGAAGUCAACUCGGAUCUGUGUGACUUCAACCUGUGGGGCUCUGAGGGAAAAUUACCGACAUCUCAGAGCUUUUGCUUUCACCUGCUAAAUAGGGUUGUUUUGAAAAUUAAAUGAUAUAAAGUGCUUAUGUACACCUGGAGCAUAAUUCAUAGACAUAAUUGCCACUACUAAAAUUACUACUCAAAAUAAUAUUUCUGUAGAACUCAUGCUACAGUUUUAUUUAUUUAUUUAUUUAUUUAUUUUGGUACUGGGAAUUGAACUCAGGACUUUGCACUUGCCAGGCAGGCACUUGUGCCGCUGAGCUGUAGCUCAUGCUACAGCUUUAAUAAGCAGUCAACAAAUACUUUUUCCGAGUAGAGAAAAACCCCUAAUUCAUAAGUAACACUAACUCUUAUCACACAUUUCCUAUUUUAUCUGAAAGACAGUAAUUCAAAGACUAAGACAUCGGCAUUUUCUUAGUUCUGAUUUGUUCUAUGUCAGAAUAAUCAGACACACAAUCUUAAAUAUCUCAUGGCAUCUCUUGUAUGAGAAACCCAAAGUAUGAAGAAAUGAAGCAGCAAAAUAAAAGAUAGAUAAUAGGAAACAGGGAGAUCUUUUGCAAAUGGGAGAGGAACCAACAGAUAGAGAGAGGAGAGAGGGAAAGGAAGGGAGAGGAACACAGAAAGAAUUAAGAUGUAUUAUGUUCAUUUACCAACUCCCCACGAUGAAUGUUACCUUGAAGUACUGCAAGCAUGGAGUAAUAAAAAUAAAGAAUAAUAGAAAUUUUAUGUACCUUGGUAUAAGGGUGGUGGUUGCAAUUCUGUAAUUAAACUUACAAUGGAUGCAAAGAAAACAAUAGAAUGAAAACAGAGACAUUCACUAGACUACGUGGAAGAUCCCCUGUCAUACCACUGCACUUUCUUUGUUUUUUCGUGCCAGGGCUCAAACCCAGGGCCUUGAGCAUAGUAGACAAGGAAUCUACCACUGUACCACAUCCCCCAGCUCAGAUCCUUGUCCUUCUAAAUCCGUCUUUAAAAAAAAUAAAUCCAUUUUAAUUUCAGAUGUUUCC
rnacentral:lncRNA from 1 species